rnacentral:lncRNA from 1 species
CAUGGUUUGCUUUUGAAUGGACUAAAAAAUUAGCAGCCUUGGACCUUUGGGCUAAUUGAUGGAAACUUGCUUGAACCUCCGCAUAAAUGAGGCUCAAGUGAGCAGGUAGUUGGUCCAAUAAAAAUCAAGUCAACUAGAACCCAACCUAGCUAGUGGGUUGGGUAAGGAAGCUAGGCAUCAUUAGAUCACCAUAGCGAGCGGACC